UGACUAAGCGUACACGGUGGAUGCCCUGGCAGUCAGAGGCGAUGAAGGACGUGCUAAUCUGCGAAAAGCGUCGGUAAGGUGAUAUGAACCGUUAUAACCGGCGAUGUCCGAAUGGGGAAACCCAGUGCAAUUCGUUGCACUAUCGUUAACUGAAUACAUAGGUUAACGAGGCGAACCGGGGGAACUGAAACAUCUAAGUACCCCGAGGAAAAGAAAUCAACCGAGAUUCCCCCAGUAGCGGCGAGCGAACGGGGAGCAGCCCAGAGUCUGAAUCAGCUUGUGUGUUAGUGGAACGGUCUGGAAAGUCCGACGGUACAGGGUGAUAGUCCCGUACACCAAAAUGCACAGGCUGUGAACUCGAAGAGUAGGGCGGGACACGUGGUAUCCUGUCUGAAUAUGGGGGGACCAUCCUCCAAGGCUAAAUACUCCUGACUGACCGAUAGUGAACCAGUACCGUGAGGGAAAGGCGAAAAGAACCCCGGCGAGGGGAGUGAAAAAGAACCUGAAACCGUGUACGUACAAGCAGUGGGAGCACCUUCGGGUGUGACUGCGUACCUUUUGUAUAAUGGGUCAGCGACUUAUAUUCUGUAGCAAGGUUAACCGUAUAGGGGAGCCGCAGGGAAACCGAGUCUUAACUGGGCGUUAAGUUGCAGGGUAUAGACCCGAAACCCGGUGAUCUAGCCAUGGGCAGGUUGAAGGUUGGGUAACACUAACUGGAGGACCGAACCGACUAAUGUUGAAAAAUUAGCGGAUGACUUGUGGCUGGGGGUGAAAGGCCAAUCAAACCGGGAGAUAGCUGGUUCUCCCCGAAAGCUAUUUAGGUAGCGCCUCGUGAAUUCAUCUUCGGGGGUAGAGCACUGUUUCGGCUAGGGGGUCAUCCCGACUUACCAACCCGAUGCAAACUACGAAUACCGAAGAAUGUUAUCACGGGAGACACACGGCGGGUGCUAACGUCCGUCGUGAAGAGGGAAACAACCCAGACCGCCAGCUAAGGUCCCAAAGUCAUGGUUAAGUGGGAAACGAUGUGGGAAGGCACAGACAGCCAGGAUGUUGGCUUAGAAGCAGCCAUCAUUUAAAGAAAGCGUAAUAGCUCACUGGUCGAGUCGGCCUGCGCGGAAGAUGUAACGGGGCUAAACCAUGCACCGAAGCUGCGGCAGCGACACUAUGUGUUGUUGGGUAGGGGAGCGUUCUGUAAGCCUGCGAAGGUGACCUGUGAGGGUUGCUGGAGGUAUCAGAAGUGCGAAUGCUGACAUAAGUAACGAUAAAGCGGGUGAAAAGCCCGCUCGCCGGAAGACCAAGGGUUCCUGUCCAACGUUAAUCGGGGCAGGGUGAGUCGACCCCUAAGGCGAGGCCGAAAGGCGUAGUCGAUGGGAAACAGGUUAAUAUUCCUGUACUUGGUGUUACUGCGAAGGGGGGACGGAGAAGGCUAUGUUAGCCGGGCGACGGUUGUCCCGGUUUAAGCAUGUAGGCUGGUUGUCCAGGCAAAUCCGGAUAAUCAAGGCUGAGGUGUGAUGACGAGGCACUACGGUGCUGAAGUAACAAAUGCCCUGCUUCCAGGAAAAGCCUCUAAGCAUCAGGUAACAUUGGAGCUGAGACCAGUCGAAGAUACCAGCUGGCUGCAACUGUUUAUUAAAAACACAGCACUGUGCAAACACGAAAGUGGACGUAUACGGUGUGACGCCUGCCCGGUGCCGGAAGGUUAAUUGAUGGGGUUAUCCGUAAGGAGAAGCUCUUGAUCGAAGCCCCGGUAAACGGCGGCCGUAACUAUAACGGUCCUAAGGUAGCGAAAUUCCUUGUCGGGUAAGUUCCGACCUGCACGAAUGGCGUAAUGAUGGCCAGGCUGUCUCCACCCGAGACUCAGUGAAAUUGAACUCGCUGUGAAGAUGCAGUGUACCCGCGGCAAGACGGAAAGACCCCGUGAACCUUUACUAUAGCUUGACACUGAACAUUGAGCCUUGAUGUGUAGGAUAGGUGGGAGGCUUUGAAGCGUGGACGCCAGUCUGCGUGGAGCCAACCUUGAAAUACCACCCUUUAAUGUUUGAUGUUCUAACGUUGGCCCCUGACCGGGGUUGCGGACAGUGUCUGGUGGGUAGUUUGACUGGGGCGGUCUCCUCCCAAAGCGUAACGGAGGAGCACGAAGGUUAGCUAAUCCUGGUCGGACAUCAGGAGGUUAGUGCAAUGGCAUAAGCUAGCUUGACUGCGAGCGUGACGGCGCGAGCAGGUGCGAAAGCAGGUCAUAGUGAUCCGGUGGUUCUGAAUGGAAGGGCCAUCGCUCAACGGAUAAAAGGUACUCCGGGGAUAACAGGCUGAUACCGCCCAAGAGUUCAUAUCGACGGCGGUGUUUGGCACCUCGAUGUCGGCUCAUCACAUCCUGGGGCUGAAGUAGGUCCCAAGGGUAUGGCUGUUCGCCAUUUAAAGUGGUACGCGAGCUGGGUUUAGAACGUCGUGAGACAGUUCGGUCCCUAUCUGCCGUGGGCGCUGGAGAAUUGAGGGGGGCUGCUCCUAGUACGAGAGGACCGGAGUGGACGCAUCACUGGUGUUCGGGUUGUCAUGCCAAUGGCACUGCCCGGUAGCUAAAUGCGGAAGAGAUAAGUGCUGAAAGCAUCUAAGCACGAAACUUGCCCCGAGAUGAGUUCUCCCUGAGACUUUAAGUCUCCUGAAGGAACGUUGAAGACGACGACGUUGAUAGGCCGGGUGUGUAAGCGCAG
rnacentral:rRNA from 1 species